UUAGGGGCAGCCUCGGCGGGGAAGGGGGGGGCAGUGACCUCCUUUCCCUUCGCUUAAGCAAGACCGACCUUGAAUUUUCCUCAGAAGGAACUUUUGUGAGAAGCCGUAAGGAGCCAGUCUGCAGCUAAUUCACACCUCCCAGAAUGCACAAGCCUCCUUGCAGCUCCUUGCUGGAAAAGCCACCAAUCUUGUGACAGCCCCAGGACACCUCUCUCCACAACCCUGCUUUGUGUCCUAAAUGCAAGCCCAUCACACUUCUCAGCUGUUCCUACCACCAAGCUUUGUGCACACGGGGCCCAUGGUCAGGACGUCCCGCGAUCUGCUCUUCCACUUGAUAAAAAGUCAAAGAACCUUCAGGAUCUUUCUCCUCAACUAUUGAAAAAGUCUACAGUUACAACCCAGCCGGCCGAAGAGAAAUUAGAUUUCAUUCCAUCAGGCUUCAGUGGCUAUCAGGUAGGAUCAGCGGG